rnacentral:rRNA from 1 species
UUUAGUUUUUGUGGGCAUUCGGUGGAUGCCUUGGUACCAAGAGCUGAUGAAGGACGUGGCGGCCUGCGAUAAUCCUUGGGGAGUUGGCGAGCGAGCGUUGAUCUGAGGGUGUCCGAAUGGGGGAACCUGGCUGGGGUUGUGCCUGGUCACUAUCAUCUGAAUUCAUAGGGUGGUAGGGGGAACGCGGGGAAGUGAAACAUCUUAGUACCCGUAGGAGAAGAUAUUUCGUCAGUAGUGGUGAGCGAAAGCGGAUGAUGGCUAAACCGUGUGCGUGUGUGACUCGGCGGGGGUUGCGUGUGCGGGGUUGUGGGGCUCUUUUUUCUCAUCUUCUGCCGGGGGUGGGGGUGUGUGCGUGUGCGUGUGGUGAACAUCUUGGGAUGGGUGACCGUAGUGCGUGAUAGUCGUGUAGCUGUGUGUGUGCGUGUGUGCUGAAGGGGUGCCCGAGUAGUGCGGGGCUCGUGGAAUCUCGUGUGAAUCUGCCAGGACCACCUGGUAAGCCUGAAUACUUUUUGGUGACCGAUAGUGCAUAGUACCGUGAGGGAAUGGUGAAAAGUACCCCGGGAGGGGAGUGAAAUAGUGCCUGAAACCGGGUGCCUGUAAGCCGUCAGAGCCUGCUUUUGUUGGGUGAUGGCGUGCCUUUUGAAGAAUGAGCCUGCGAGUCAGUGAUGCGUGGCGUGCUUAACCCGUGUGGGGGAUGCGUAGCGAAAGCGAGUCUUAAUUUUGGGCGUGUGUCGCGUGUUGUGGACCCGAAGCGGGGUGAUCUACCUAUGGUCAGGGUGAAGCUAUGGUAAGACGUGGUGGAGGCCCGUACCCACCAGGGUUGAAAACCUGGGGGAUGAACUGUGGGUAGGGGUGAAAGGCCAAUCAAACUCCGUGAUAGCUGGUUCUCCCCGAAAUGCAUUUAGGUGCAGCGUCACACUGGGCUUGGUGGAGGUAGAGCUACUGGUUGGUUGAUGGGCCGUGUUGGUUACUGACGUCAGCUAAACUCCGAAUGCCAUUUCAAGUGGGUGUGGCAGUGAGACUGCGGGGGAUAAGCUUCGUGGUCGAGAGGGAAACAGCCCAGAUCAUCGGCUAAGGCCCCUAAGCGUGCGCUGAGUGGGAAAGGAUGUGGAGUCGCGUUGACAGCCAGGAGGUUGGCUUAGAAGCAGCCAUCCUUGAAAGAGUGCGUAAUAGCUCACUGGUCGAGUGGUUGUGCGCCGAUAAUGUAGCGGGGCUUAAGCGUGCCGCCGAAGCCGUGGCAAUAGCAAUUUUUUUUGUUGUUUUUGGGUAGGGGAGCGUCCUGCUCUGGGUGAAGCUGCCUGGUGAUGGGUGGUGGACGGGGUGGGAGUGAGAAUGCAGGCAUGAGUAGCGUUUCGUGGGUGAGAAUCCUACGCGCUGAUUGACUAAGGGUUCCAGGGGCAGGUUUGUCCGCCCUGGGUUAGUCGGGUCCUAAGGCGAGGCCGACAGGCGUAGUCGAUGGGUGACCAGUUGAUAUUCUGGUACCGUUUGUUUUCCGUCUAACGCUGCAUGCUUUCGCGUCGUGUGCUUGCCGUGCGUGGUGUUGUCUUUCGGGAUGAUGCUGAGUGUGGCUGUGUGUGGUGUGGGGUGUGUGGUGAGCAUUGGGGUGACGCAGGGAGGUAGUUGCUGCACACUGGUGGUUAUGUGUGUCUAAGGUUGUGGCCUGUUUCUUGGGUGAAAUCCGGGAAGCUGCGUUUGAUCGCGUGGGUGAGGGCUGAUGGGGCUGCCUGUUGGGGUGGCUAGUGGUGAUCCUGUACUGCCGAGAAAAGCCUGGAUGUGAGGAAGAUGAGCGCCCGUACCCUAAACCGACUCUGGUGGUCAGGUAGAGUAUACCGAGGCGUGCGAGUGAAUCAUGGUUAAGGAAUUCGGCAAAUUGCCCCCGUAACUUUGGGAUAAGGGGGGCCCUGCUGGUGUGCCUGCUUUUGCGUGGGUGGUGCUGGUUGGGGUCGCAGAGAAUUGGGAGAAGCGACUGUUUAUUAAAAACAUAGGUGUGUGCUAAGCCGUAAGGCGCUGUAUACGCACUGACGCCUGCCCGGUGCUGGAAGGUUAAGAGGACGACUUAACUGCUUUUUUGUGGUGAAGGUUUGAAUUUAAGCCCCAGUAAACGGCGGUGGUAACUAUAACCAUCCUAAGGUAGCGAAAUUCCUUGUCGGGUAAGUUCCGACCUGCACGAAUGGCGUAA